UACGUAGGGUGCGAGCGUUAAUCGGAAUUACUGGGCGUAAAGCGUGCGCAGGCGGUUCGUUGUGUCUGAUGUGAAAGCCCCGGGCUUAACCUGGGAAUGGCAUUGGAAACUGGCGGGCUUGAGUAUGGCAGAGGGGGGUGGAAUUCCGCGUGUAGCAGUGAAAUGCGUAGAGAUGCGGAGGAACACCGAUGGCGAAGGCAGCCCCCUGGGCCAAUACUGACGCUCAGGCACGAAAGCGUGGGGAGCAAACAGG
rnacentral:rRNA from 1 species